rnacentral:lncRNA from 1 species
AGUAAUCUAACUUUCAUGUACAAUCUAAUAUUUUUCUAACUUCAACUUUCAAAAUAAAAUAAAAUUCAAGAACUUCUAAGUUGAAAAUUCAACUAAUCUAAUUUCGACUUUCAUAUACUAAUAUUUUUCUAACUUCAAAGUAAUCUAACUUUCAUAUACAAUUCAAUGUUUUUCUAACUUCAACCGUCAAACAUACAAAAUUCAAGAAUUUCAAAGUUGGAAAAUGCAACUAAUCUAACUUCUAACUUCUAAUUAUUUGUUCGUUCUAACUUCUAAUACUCAAUUCACAAUCAUAUUUAAAGAAAAAAAAA